rnacentral:rRNA from 1 species
GAUGAACGCUGGCGGCGUGCCUAAUACAUGCAAGUCGAGCGAACGGACGAGAAGCUUGCUUUUCUGAUGUUAGCGGCGGACGGGUGAGUAACACGUGGAUAACCUACCUAUAAUACUGGGAUAACUUCGGGAAACCGGAGCUAAUACCGGAUAAUAUUUUGAACCGCAUGGUUCAAAAGUGAAAGACGGUCUUGCUGUCACUUAUAGAUGGAUCCGCGCUGCAUUAGCUAGUUGGUAAGGUAACGGCUUACCAAGGCAACGAUGCGUAGCCGACCUGAGAGGGUGAUCGGCCACACUGGAACUGAGACACGGUCCAGACUCCUACGGGAGGCAGCAGUAGGGAAUCUUCCGCAAUGGGCGAAAGCCUGACGGAGCAACGCCGCGUGAGUGAUGAAGGUCUUCGGAUCGUAAAACUCUGUUAUUAGGGAAGAACAUAUGUGUAAGUAACUGUGCACAUCUUGACGGUACCUAAUCAGAAAGCCACGGCUAACUACGUG